rnacentral:rRNA from 1 species
UCAGAGGGAGGUAGAAUNCCACGUGUAGCAGUGAAAUGCGUAGAGAUGUGGAGGAAUACCGAUGGCGAAGGCAGCCUCCUGGGAUAACACUGACGUUCAUGCCCGAAAGCGUGGGUAGCAAACAGGAUUAGAUACCCUGGUAGUCCACGCCCUAAACGAUGUCGAUUAGCUGUUGGGCAGCAUGACUGCUUGGUAGCGAAGCUAACGCGUGAAAUCGACCGCCUGGGGAGUACGGUCGCAAGAUUAAAACUCAAAGGAAUUGACGGGGACCCGCACAAGCGGUGGAUGAUGUGGAUUAAUUCGAUGCAACGCGAAGAACCUUACCUGGUCUUGACAUGUACGGAACCCUCCAGAGACGGAGGGGUGCCUUCGGGAGCCGUAACACAGGUGCUGCAUGGCUGUCGUCAGCUCGUGUCGUGAGAUGUUGGGUUAAGUCCCGCAACGAGCGCAACCCUUGUCAUUAGUUGCCAUCAUUAAGUUGGGCACUCUAAUGAGACUGCCGGUGACAAGCCGGAGGAAGGUGGGGAUGACGUCAAGUCCUCAUGGCCCUUAUGACCAGGGCUUCACACGUCAUACAAUGGUCGGUACAGAGGGUAGCCAAGCCGCGAGGUGGAGCCAAUCUCACAAAACCGAUCGUAGUCCGGAUUGCACUCUGCAACUCGAGUGCAUGAAGUCGGGAUCGCUAGUAAUCGCAGGUCAGCAUACUGCGGUGAAUACGUUCCCGGGUCUUGUACACACCGCCCGUCACACCAUGGGAGUGGGGGAUACCAGAAGUAGGUAGGGUAACCGCAAGGAGCCC